rnacentral:lncRNA from 1 species
GUUGCCCAGCUAUGCAACCCAAGAGGGGGGGUGAAUUGGGUUUCUAAAAAUUUUAAGCUUAACUUAUGACUUAUGAGAAAUGUUUGACAAAGCUAAAUAAAUAGAGAGAGUAAAAUUAAUUCAAGACUAAUGGCUAAGAGCAAGAAUACAAGAGAAUAAUGAAGAGUUAAAGAAGAGCAAUUAGACACACCACAAACAAAAAGAUUUAUAGUGGUUCGGUGCCAACCUUGCACCUACAUCCACUCCCCAAGCUCCUACUUGGGA